rnacentral:lncRNA from 1 species
GGCCCUUAACAUGCCAAUUGAGUUUAAAGGUAAUAACUACUACUCAAAAGUGUUUAAAAGAGUUAAUAACAUGCUAUAAUAUAGCACUUUUUGAGUAUUAAUCAACGACCUAUAGAAGCUCAUGUAUUGGAUCAUCCUGAGCUAUUCAUAGUAUCUAAAAACCUGAGCUAACAACCCAGAGUAAUUCAUGUCAACCACAUCCUUGAUAUGUUCAUAGCAUUUAGACACCUAAGCUCAUGACCUGAAGUCUUUCAUGGAAUCGACAACCCUUAGAUGUUCAUAGCAUCUAAGGCCCUCAGCUCACGACCUAGAGUCAUUCAAUUGAACCAUAGCCCCUGUUCAUAGUAUCAAGAGCCCUGACCUCGUGACCCAAAGUCGUUCAUGUCAACCAUAUGUCAGAGUUGUUCAUAGCACCUAGACUCCUGAUCUCAUGACCUAGAGUAGCUCAUGUCAUCCACGGCCUUAAGUUAUUCAUAGCAUCUAAAGCCCUGAGCUCAUGACCCGAAGUCAUUCAUGUCAACCAUAGCACUGAGUUGUUCAUAGUAUCUAAAGCCCUUUUCUCAUGAAUAUGAGUCAUUCAUGUCAUCCACAACCCUUAGUUGUUCAUAGCAUCUAGAACCCUUAGCUCAGGACCCAGAGUCUUUGGUGUCAUCAACAACCCUAAGUUGUACAUAGUAUCUAGAGCCCUAAGCUCACGACCUAGAGUAGCUCAUGUCAUCCACAACCCUGAGUUGUUCAUAAAAUCUAGAGCCCUGUGAUCACGACCUUGAGUUGUUCAUGUCAAACACAAUAGAGAGUUAUUCAUAGCAUCCAGAGCUUGAGCUCACAACCUAGAGUAGCUCAAGUCAUCCACAGCCUUGAGCUGCUCAAAGCAUUUAGAACCCUGAGCUCUCGACCCAAAGUCAUUCAUGUCAACCAUAGCUCUAAGUUGUUCAUAGUAUCAUCGGCCUUGAGCUCACAACCCGGAGUCAUUCAUGUCAACCAUAACCCAUAGUUGUUCAUAGCAUUUAGAGCCCUAAGCUCACGACCCAGAGUUUCUCAUGUCAUCUAUAGCCCUGAGCUUUUCAUAGUAUCCUAAACAUUGAGCUCACGGGAUCCUAAGUCAUUCAUAUCAUCCACAACUCAGAGAUGCUUACAGCAUUUAGAGUCCAAAGCUCAUGACCCAAAGUCAUUCAUGUCAACCACAACCUUGAGGUAUUCAUAGUAUCUUGAGCCGUGAGCUCACAACCCAGAGUCGUUCAUGUUAUCCAUAGCUGUGAACUCAUGAAAUAGAGUCAUUCAUAUCAUCAAUAGCCCUGAGCUGCUCAUAGCAUCUAAAGGCUUAAGCUCAUGGGAUCCCUAGUUGUUAAUAUCAUCCACAAUGUUGAGUUGUUCAAAGCAUCCAUAUCCUUAAGCUCACGACCUGGAGUGGCACAUAUCAUCCAUAGGCUUGAGUUGUUCAUAGCAUUUAGAGCCCUAAGCACACUACUCGGAGUUGUUCAUGUCAUCCACAACCCUGAGCUAUUCAUAGCACUUAGACCCCUAAGCCCACGACCCUAAAUUGUUCAUGUCAUCAUAAGCCUUAGGAUAUUCAUAACACCUAGUGUUGUGAGCUCACGACCCGGAAUCGUUAUGUUAUCCAUAGCCCUCAGCUAUUAAUAGAAAUUAGAGCCAUAAGCUCAUGACCAAGAAUCUUUCAUAUUAUCCAUAGCUCUUAGUUGUUCAUAGUAUCUUGUGGCCUAAGCUCACGGGAUCCCGAGUCAUUCAUAUCAUUUAUAACUCUAAGCUACUCAUAGCAUCCAGAGCCUUAAGCUCACAACUUGAAGUCGUUCAUGUCAACAACAACCUUGAGCUGCUUAUAGCAUCUUAAGUCGUGAGCCCACAACUCAGAGUCAUUCAUGUCAUCUACCACUCCUAGCUCAUGAUGAAAAAUCAUUCAUAUCAUCCAUAGCCCUAAUUUGUUCAUAGCAUUAAGAGGCCUUAGCUCAUGGGAUAUCAAGUCAUUCAUAUCAUUCACAAAGCUUAGUUAUUCAAAGCAACCAUACCCUUGAACUCAUGACCCAGAGUGGCACAUAUCAUCCGUAGCCUUGAGUUGUUCAUAGCAUCUAGAGCCCUAAGUACAUGACCUAGAGUCGUUCAUGUCAUCAAUAACCCUAAGUUGUUCAUAGCAUUUAGACCUCUAAGCCCACAACCUAAAAUCUUUCAUAUCAUCUAUAGCCCUAAGCUUUUCAUAAAAUCUAGAGCCUUGAGAUCAUGACCCGGAGUCAUUCAUGUCAUCCCUAACCCUGACUUUUCAUAACAUCUGAAGCCUUGAGCUCAUGACCCAAAUUCGGUCAUGUCCACCACAACCCUAAGUUGUUAUAGCAUCUAGAGCCCAGAGCACAGCACUCAGAGUUGUUCAUGUCAUCCAUAGCCCUGAGCUAUUCAUAGCAUCUAGAGCCUUAAACUCCAAACCUGAAGUAAUUCAUGUCAUUCACAACCCUGGGUUGUUCAUAGCAACUAGUGCCCUAAGCUCACAACUAGAAGUCAUUCAUGUAAUCCACAACCUUGAGUUGUUCAAAACAUCUAGAGCCCUGAGCUUAUGACCCGAAGUCAUUGAUGCCCACCAUAGCCUUGAUAUGUUCAUAACAUUUAGAGCCCUGAGCAGACGACCUUGAGUCAUUCAUGUCAUUAACAACCCUGAGUUGUUCAUAGCAUCUAGAACCCUAAGCCCACAACCC